UUCAACAGCCGCUCGCAACGCGAGGGAGAGCCGGCAGCGGCCUUCAUCACUGCGCUGUAUGCGUUGGUUGAAACAUGUGAAUACUGCAGCCUCAAAGACGAGCUUCUCAGGGAUCGAAUCGUGGUCGGAGUUCGAGACGAAAAACUGUCCACAAAGUUGCAAAUAGAGAGCAAACCUCUUAUUUCAACUCCUUUCCCUGACCGCCCAUGGCAAAGGGUGGCAAUGGAUCUUUUUCAUGACAAUGGGAAGCACUACUUGUUAGUAACGGACUGCUACUCCCGCUACAUCAAAAUCGCUCUUCUGGAGAACCAGAGGCCGGAGACAGUCAUCCUUAAGUCAAAGUCGGUUCUUGCGAGACAUGGGAUUCCGGAAAUGGUGGUCACGAACAACGGGCCACAGUUUCGCUCAGAGUUCACCAUUUUUGCCAAGGAUUGAGGUUUUGCCCACUGCACUUCGAGCCCCAAAUAUCCACAAAGUAAUGGUUGUGCUGAAGCAGCGGUAAAAAUCGCGAAAGCGAAGAUCUCGAAAUCUUCUGACCCUUACAGAGCACUCCUAGCGUAUCGAGCAACGCCCCUGGCCAAUGGUUUUAGCCCUGCUGAACUGCUGUUCAACAGAACGUUUGCGUACACAUGUACCUAUCGCGGCGGAGCUGCUGCUACCAUCUGAGCCCAUUUGAAGGCGAAAGAAGAAAGCGUCAAGGAAUAAAUUUCAACAGGCGCCAUUCUGUCCGAGAACGUGAGGAGUUCCAACCUCAGCAGAAGGUCUGGGUAACUGAACUCAAACGCCACGGAACGAUAUUGAGUGUCGCUGACACUCCUCGGUCCUACUGGGUUAUCACAGAUCAGGGCACCGUUCGCCGAAAUGUAAAGCACUUAGUGCUAUUCAUGCUAAGCCAAUGCCCCAGUGCUAAGUCCAUCCGAUGGGACAACUCCACAAACAGUACCGGAAACGUCUGGACCUACGUCACGUUACGGAAGACAUCCGAAGCCACCAACCCGUUACGGGUACGACCAGAGUUAAGGAGGGAGAUGUUCGAUGUUCCCUGUGCUCUCUGUACAUGUACGUGCAAUUGUAUCCGAAGCUCUCCACGUGAGGGUGCAACGUACCUAAAGGCUGAGAAGGAAAGUUGCAGGAAAAUGCCAUCAUGAGAUAUCAAGGCGCCGAGGAAGAGACCCCACAAAACAGGAUCCCGUCACGUCUGAUGUCUGACGCAGUUGCACAACAGUUCAGCUACAGAGGGCGCAAGGGAAAGGAAAACUUCAGCGCUCUCUAUGUGUGCAAGAUCAUCGUUAGUACGGAUGUCGCCAUGGAGCGAAAAAG